UGAGAGUAGAUCAAUGCCCCUAACUUAGCUGAUGGAUAGCUAUCCAAAAACCCUGUCUGCCUACCCCCUACCUAUUAUAUUGUCCAAAUCGAUAUGUUGGUGGGACCAAUCUCAUGAUAAUCUUUACUUAACUUCCCCCACAAUAUAAGCUAUCACACACCAACUCAACUCUUUCAUUCUGUGUUAAAAAAGAAUUUUCAUAUUCCCUCCUCUAAUUGCUCCCUUCUUUUACAGUAGGAGCCCCAUAGCAUGAUGAAGGGGUAUAGGGAAGACAAUUCAUGCUGCUAUUUCCAUCCUAAAGAAGUUGUUAUUGGGGUUUGCCCUCUGUGCUUAAAUGAGAGGCUUCUUUUCUUAGCUUCAAAGCAAGCCCAACGCUCUUCAUCAUCCACCUGCAAAAGUAGCCAUAGAUUAAUUCAUGGUGUUUCACUAAAGAAACCUCCCAUUAACCUCCCCAAGAUCUUUGCUUUAGGCUCACUUCUCAAUCGUCUUGAGUUCAAGCAUUGCAAAUCUGAAAAUUCUGAUGCUCAUGAUGCUUCAACCAGUCAAGAAGAUUCCUUUAUCUCAAUUAAGUUUGAAGAGAAUGGUGUUGGUUCAUGGGACAAAGGCACAGUUUCAAAGGUCUCUCUUGAGCAUUGCAGUAUGUCAUGGAACCCCAUUAAGGAUACCAAUAAGAGUGUGAUAGAGCAUGCCAAACCACGAGCUUCGCUUAGAUGGCGAAAGCGGAUUGGCCACUUAUUCCAGCUCAUGAGGUGGAAGAGAUCCAGCAAGGUAGAAGGAGUGAAAGUGAUGAGAAGGAAGGGGUGGUGGAUAAGGAGUCUGACAAAGUGGACCAAAGAAUAAAGACAUCUUUUGUAUAGAAAGGGACACCUAAGGCUUUGCUUUUCAUCUUCCUCCAUGCCAAUUUGUGCGUGUGUGUUGGGGCUCUCAUAUAAUUGAGAUGUUGUUCAUGGAGAUUUCUGCCCCCACAUGCCAGCCAUUAAGUUGGUGCAAAGUGGCCAAGCAGGCCCCUUUGUUUGUUCAGAAAGACCCUUCACUAUAAUUUGUCCCAAAUUGUGACUCUCACCAGCAAAGGGACCAGUGCAGUCAGGACCACAAUGGUACUAUUGAGAAAAGGCUAAAAUGGAGUAGUCGAAAAUGACAAGACAUAAAUCUUAACCCCACCGCCCCACAUUCUUCUCCGCCAUUAUCAAAGAAGAUGAUGAAAGAAUCAUGGGUUUCACUAGAUAUUUUCAGUCAAUAUUGAAUUGGAAAACUAUAGUGGCUAUUUAAUACAGUAUACAUUAAGGUUAACAUUUUA